rnacentral:rRNA from 1 species
UGGCCAAAGGUCGGAACGGUAACAUUUCUAGCUUGCUAGAAGAUGACGAGUGGCGGACGGGUGAGUAAUGCUUGGGAACUUGCCUUCAGGAGGGGGAUAACAGUUGGAAACGACUGCUAAUACCGCAUAAUGUCUUUGGACCAAAGCGGGCUUCGGCUCGCACCUGAAGAGAGGCCCAAGUGAGAUUAGCUAGUUGGUAAGGUAACGGCUUACCAAGGCGACGAUCUCUAGCUGUUCUGAGAGGAAGAUCAGCCACACUGGGACUGAGACACGGCCCAGACUCCUACGGGAGGCAGCAGUGGGGAAUAUUGCACAAUGGGGGAAACCCUGAUGCAGCCAUGCCGCGUGUGUGAAGAAGGCCUUCGGGUUGUAAAGCACUUUCAGUUGUGAGGAAAGGUUGGUAGUUAAUACCUGCCAGCUGUGACGUUAACAACAGAAGAAGCACCGGCUAACUCCGUGCCAGCAGCCGCGGUAAUACGGAGGGUGCGAGCGUUAAUCGGAAUUACUGGGCGUAAAGCGCACGCAGGCGGUUUGUUAAGCUAGAUGUGAAAGCCCCGGGCUCAACCUGGGAUGGUCAUUUAGAACUGGCAGACUAGAGUCUUGGAGAGGGGAGUGGAAUUCCAGGUGUAGCGGUGAAAUGCGUAGAUAUCUGGAGGAACAUCAGUGGCGAAGGCGGCUCCCUGGCCAAAGACUGACGCUCAUGUGCGAAAGUGUGGGUAGCGAACAGGAUUAGAUACCCUGGUAGUCCACACCGUAAACGCUGUCUACUAGCUGUUUGUGAAUUUAAUUCGUGAGUAGCGAAGCUAACGCGCUAAGUAGACCGCCUGGGGAGUACGGCCGCAAGGUUAAAACUCAAAUGAAUUGACGGGGGCCCGCACAAGCGGUGGAGCAUGUGGUUUAAUUCGAUGCAACGCGAAGAACCUUACCUACACUUGACAUGCAGAGAACUUUCCAGAGAUGGAUUGGUGCCUUCGGGAACUCUGACACAGGUGCUGCAUGGCUGUCGUCAGCUCCGGGCCUGGAAAUGUUGGGUUAAGUCCCGCAACGAGCGCAACCCUUGGCCUUAGUUGCCAGCAUUUAUUUGGGCACUCUAAGGAAACUGGCCGGUGACAAACCGGAAGAAAGGUGGGGACAAA